GACGAACGCUGGCGGCGUGCUUAACACAUGCAAGUCGAACGGUAAGGCCCUUCGGGGUACACGAGUGGCGAACGGGUGAGUAACACGUGGGUGAUAUGCCCUGCACUUCGGGAUAAGCCUGGGAAACUGGGUCUAAUACCGGAUAGGACCACUGCCUGCAUGGGUGGUGGUGGAAAGCUUUUGCGGUGUGGGAUGGGCCCGCGGCCUAUCAGGUUGUUGGUGGGGUGAUGGCCUACCAAGGCGACGACGGGUAGCCGGCCUGAGAGGGUGACCGGCCACACUGGGACUGAGAUACGGCCCAGACUCCUACGGGAGGCAGCAGUGAGGAAUAUUGCACAAUGGGCGCAAGACUGAUGCAGCGACGCCGCGUGAGGGAUGACGGCCUUCGGGUUGUAAACCUCUUUCAGCACCGACGAAGCGCAAGUGACGGUAGGUGCAGAAGAAGGACCGGCCAACUACGUGCCAGCAGCCGCGGUAA
rnacentral:rRNA from 1 species